UACGUAGGGGGCAAGCGUUGUCCGGAAUCAUUGGGCGUAAAGCGCGUGUAGGCGGCCAGAAAAGUCCGCUGUGAAAACUCGAGGCUCAACUUCGAGCUGUCGGUGGAAACUUUCUGGCUAGAGUCCGGAAGAGGAGAAUGGAAUUCCUGGUGUAGCGGUGAAAUGCGCAGAUAUCAGGAAGAACACCCGUGGCGAAGGCGGUUCGCUGGGACGGUACUGACGCUGAGACGCGAAAGCGUGGGGAGCGAACAGG
rnacentral:rRNA from 1 species